GCGGAUAUAGUCUAAUGGUAAAACCUCAGCUUCCCAAGCUGAUGUCGCGGGUUCGAUUCCCGUUAUCCGCUCCA
rnacentral:tRNA from 1 species